GCGGGCAGAGAAGCCGCUCCACAUGCAGUCCUGGAGGAUGACCGGGUUGGGGGUGAGGCCACCCAGUCCCCCCAGGCCGAACGCGUCCUCCUCGGCCGGGCUGCCCCACAGCUCGUUCUCAAGCAGCAUCUCCGUGACCCAGCUCGGGGGCUCGGAGCUGUGCUCCGCGAAGCCACGGCUGGGCGACAGCGGGGGCGUGGGCAGCAGCUCAAACUUCUUCCAGAUGUCCUCCCCCGGGGGGGUCGAGUCGGGGCCGCCGAAGUAGAAGUCAUCUUCGUCCGGGGGCACCCUUUGGAGAAGAACCCCAGCCUGGGGUGGGGACGCACCGGCUCUCCGGCAGCUCAAACACAGACAGAUCUUCUAGAGCAGGGGGAAUUUCUUUUCGCAGAAGCCAUUACUCCCCCCGAGAGAAGGCUGCAAAGCUGGGAAGCCUGGGGUGUGCUCCUCCCGCCCUUUUGGACCCCCGGGCUUGCACCGGCUGCACUCUGAGAACCAGCUGCGCGCCGAGCGGUGCAAUGCAGCACCCACCCUGUGGGCCUGGCAAUUGCUUGUCAUUAAAAGAAAAAAAAAAUUACGGAGGGCUCCGGGAGUGUGUGUUGGGGAGGGGAGACCGAUGCUUCUAACCCAGCCCCCGCUUUUCGUGUUGUGCAGCUGAGCGCCAGGCCAACGUUGAGCAAGGCCUUGCAGGGAGGUUGCUCCUGUGUAAUCCCGGAAGAAGGCUAGUCCGAAGGUGCAAAAUAGCAGGGAGAGGACGCGCCCCCUUAGGAACAAGACCUCUGGAUGUUUCUUGUUUCAAAUUGAAAGGAGUGGGGCGCCCCCCUUGUUUGAAAAUAAAUAAAUAAGUGCGAGCUAC